rnacentral:rRNA from 1 species
UAAGCGUACACGGUGGAUGCCCUGGCAGUCAGAGGCGAUGAAGGACGUGCUAAUCUGCGAUAAGCGUCGGUAAGGUGAUAUGAACCGUUAUAACCGGCGAUUUCCGAAUGGGGAAACCCAGUGUGAUCCGUCACACUAUCAUUAACUGAAUCCAUAGGUUAAUGAGGCGAACCGGGGGAACUGAAACAUCUAAGUACCCCGAGGAAAAGAAAUCAACCGAGAUUCCCCCAGUAGCGGCGAGCGAACGGGGAGGAG